UUAACAUAUAAUUUCUAAAAUCUUAACAUCUAAAAGUUUCAAUCUACAUACAAAACAACAACCUAAAACAAAAUCUAACAACAUAUAACUCAUAAAACUAUCAAUUCUAUCCUAAAUCUUCAGAUUCAAAACCUAAAAUCCACAAUUGUAACAUUCCAACCUAAAAAAAUGUAAUCUAAAGAAGGGUUUAGAUGACUUACAUGAUUGGGGAAGAGAUUUGGAGGAUUUGGGGUCGGAGUCACAGAUUUGUGAGAGAGAGGAGUAAGACCGCAAAGAUUGCAGAGGAGAAGAGAAAAAAUGAGGAAGAAGAAGAAGGGUCGGCUUAUGUAUUAAAAAUAAACUGACGGACAGUUUUCGUUGGAAUUCGGUCGGUCCUAUUUUAAGCGGUUAAUCAAAUAAAAAUUUUCUUCCCGGGUAAAGUGAAAAAAUCCGACGAAAUUCCGACGAAACCUGUUCGCCACAUUUAUUUCGUGGGAAUUCCGUCGGAAUGUUUCGAGAAUAUCGCCAAAGGAAGCCUCGAGAAACUAUGAGUUUCUGCAUGUCUUUUGAUUGGUCGGGGUUCGAGUCCGUCGGAAUUUCGUCUGUAUUUUUCGUCGGAAUUUGGUCGAAAUUUUUGACGGAUUUCCGACGGAAUUUAGAGAAAUAAGAAUUUGGGGUUUCAAAACAACAGUCUAAUGAUCACAUAGAAAUCUUUGAUAGUAUGUAAAAGAUUUAUAAGAGGUUUAACUAAAAUAAUUACUUGUUUCAAUCGAUAUUAUACAAAAUCAAAAUCUACUCUUAUAUUACCGUAAUAUGUUUGUAUAAGUAUAUAAGUGUUAUUGGAGGAUGUUACGAAUACUUUGAUAUGUAUACGUAAAUAAUUUUUCUAUAUGAAAAACUUUAACUGUGUGAACUAAUUUCAUAUUAUAAAUUUAUAUAUGUGUUAUUUGGAUAUUUUAAGUAUCAAAUUAUACAUUUAUAAUAACUUUGCAAAUCUAAAAUCUGUUUCGUCGUGGAAAAUUCCGACGACAUUCCGACGAAAGUCAAAAACCUGUCGGAUUUCCGUCGGAAUAUUUCGAUGGAAUUCCGACGAAUUUCAAAUCCCUAUCGAAACCCCAAAAUUAUAAUAUUCUGUCGGAAUUUUGUCGGAUAUUUCCGACGACUUGACUUCUGUCGGUAUUUCGUCGGAAUUUUCCGACGAAAUACCGACAAACAUUAAAUUAUAUGUUUCGUCGGUAUCUCGUCGGAAUGUCGUCAAAGAAAACCGACGAAAAUAUUGUCCGUCGGAAUGUCCGUCAGAAUGUUGCGUGUUUUCUUGUAGUGAUUAGAGGUAUGUGGGCCGUAAGAUGUGUAUCUUACGGACCAAGAUUGUGAAGUCCGUGAAAUCCAUGAAGCCCUCAAGACUAAAAAGAUAGACUUGAAAAGCAAGUUGAUCUCAAGAUAUUCUUAGCAUAUUUACCAUAAGUGUUUAGGUAAGUUAGCAUUAUUUGGUGUUAACAUUAUGUUAAUGUUACCACUGUAUAUAUGCAUCUUGUAUUCUCAUAUCAAACACAACACAAUAAUAUAUCAUAUUCUCUUAUACUUUACAGUUUUGAUCUUUGCGUGUAAAAAGAAUGAAGAACUUGCAGCCAACUAUCUUCAAGAUCACAUGCACAAAUUUGAAGAAGAAUAAUGGAAGAAGAAACAGACCAAAUCCAUACCUUCUCCCCUCCUAAACUCAGAGAAUCAUCUUUUUGUUUCUUUCUUCUCCAGUGCAUUUGAUAACUUAAUUUCAUGUUUAUGUUCAUGUGUUUAUGUUACAGUUUGGAAACUUAUCAUAGCUUUUCUGUUUGAAGAUGUUUCUCCUCUUUCAUACGGUUGGGCUCAGAUACCUCUCUAUUUGUUUCAGUAGCACCAUUUACUAGAUCAUCAGUGCAAAAGUUUAUUAUAUGUUAAAUCAAGAGGAUAAUGAGAACCAAAGCGUUUGACCAAAGAAAAAAAGUGCCCGUAAACUAGGUUUAGUAUAUAUUGGUUCGAACUAGGAUCGAACUCAGUUUGAUUUGAUUCUAUUCGGUUUGUAUAUGUAUUAAGGAAAACAAAGUAAAAUUUAUAAUUUAGUAUCUUGAAACAUAUUUUUUGAUCAAGGAUUAAAAUAAAAUUGGGUUAUGGUUUUACUUAGAAAAAACUUGUCUCGGUUCAGUCUAUUCGAUUCCAGUUAUUCGGUUCAGGCUACUCUAGUCAUAUAUAAAGCAUAUGAAACUUUACAGAUUUGUAUAUCUAAUUUGCAUGGAUGUGAAAAUAAUUUCCCAAUUUAUUGCAUUUACGAAAUUAGAGAAAACACACACUUUGUUUUUUAUACUGAGAAAUAGGAUAGAGACUGACAUCAAUAAAAUUAUAGAUUGGUUUAUUGGUUCGCACUGUCGUAAUAAAAUUAGAAAAAAUGAUCAGCUAUUAUUUUCAUUUUAUCAACGACUUUGCGAACAAAUAAAGCAAAUGUCAUUAUUAAACUUUGUUGCUGUUUUCCUGACAAAUUAAUCACCUAAUCGUCAACCACAUUGCAUCGGAGUUUGGGUGUCUAACCAUGUUUGAUUCAAGUUCAUUCGAGUUUUGAUUUUUAGGAAUAUAAAAUUCAGCCCGUUCAGAUGAUUUUAAGUUCAGUUCAUCAACCAGUAUAUCGAAGUCCUACAACCAUCCACUUUUAAUCCAAUGUUUCAAGCGGAAUUUCCGAAUCAAAAUUGCUGACGUACAUCACCACAUACAGUUCAGGCUUUGAAAGUGGGACAGGAGCUGCCUUUUUUCCAUGAGAUGUUAGCCAAUCUCGGACUUCUAUCAUGGGGGGAGAAGCUGCUGUUGUGGUGGUAAGAGGAGCUUUAGACCAGAACUCUGUUGCAAAAGAACAGGAGAUGAACAAAUGAGAGAUAGAUUCCAACUCUCCACAUCUUUUGCAGCUAAGUUCUGACUGUAUUCCUCUAAUUGCGAGCAGAGAUCCCGCCGGGAGGGCAUUGUUCAAGAAUGCUUGAUUGAAUAACCUCCAUCCAGCAUCAGUAUGAAAGAAAGGCAGAACAUAUGCUUAUUCAGUCAAAUCUCAGUGCCACUAAGGCAUCAUUAAAGACAUCAAAUUAUGAAGAGCAUCUAGAGGCCAGUGGAGAGGCUGUCGAAUCUCGUCAACAUAAUGGGGACGACAAAUUUUAAAAUUAUAAACGGAUUAUUCGUUUGAUUUUCCUGUCGUUUGAGUUCUUUGGCAUAUUUCUUGAUUCUUUGGCUUUUGAGUUUUUUAGUGAAGAUGAAAUGUCAUACUAUUAAUAAAGUGGUGACAACAUACACUUCUGAAUAAACAUACUAUUUCCUUUUAGGAUGUCAUACUAUUUCCUACUAUGUUAAUUAAUUCUAUAAUUAGCGAGGUGGAACUCAUUCAUUCAUUAACUAACACUUCCCCUCCUGUGUAGUCUAAAAAUGAAAACAUACUAUUUCCUUUUAGAGUCAUUUAGCUUAAUAACCAUAAAAGAGUCGGUAAUUAGGUAAAUUGACGUCUUUAGAAAAUUGGAGGAGAGGAGAGUAUUCCGAUUUUAGCCCUACCAUUAGCUCUACUUACUACUCUUACAUUUGUCUUUCCUCAGACUACGCUAAUCUAGUUGCUAACCUACUAACAUCUAAUAUACGGAAGGUAGCAUGUCCGAAGGUUCAAUUUUCAAAAUCAAUAGGUUCAUCGGGGAUUAAAGACACAUGCAGAGCUUUUCUACGUGUACUUAACCCAGAUAAUCAGAAGCAGGAUUGAUUAAUUUUCCAAAUAAAAGGGUUACUUCUCGAGUAGUAGAGACAGACGGGAACGUCGGUCCUGAUAAAAUGGAAUCAAUACCGGAGAUGAUGUUCGCAGCCGGAGAAGAGCCCGUCGGAGUUCAUGUUCUGACAUACCAAUCAUCACACGCCAUAAAAAAAAUUUCAAUGCGUUAGAAGAAGAAGAAUUAUUGUGAUACGGGAGUCGUCUUUCGGUAAAAUAAUUGAAAUUGCAGACAUAAUAAUUUGUAAUUGUUGAUUUACAUGAGAAUUAGUUGAAGGCGGUCAUAAAAAAGUUGCAGAGUCGAAGCCCUAAAAAAACUCGAGGAAGAUGAUGCAAAAUUUACAAUUAUGCCAUUUACUAAAAAAAUUUAAAACAAAACGCAAAACACGCUAUGGGCAUGUUGAAACCGGGAACAAAUGGUUACGAAUAGUAGCUUUUACCACUAGACCGUUGGAACUUACUAGAACAAUUCACACAAGUUUAAUAAUAUUACAAACUUUAUCCGAAAAUUGAAAAGUACUAAAAACGGAUGUAUAAAUGUUGAAAAGUACUAUAUCCGGAUGUAUAAAUGUUUAUCCGAAACUUGAAAAAUUAUUAUCCGGUUUAAACAUGUUAUAUCCAGAUGUAUUUAUGUUCAUCUAGUUCUACAAAGUAAUAUCCGAUUACUUAAAAGAAUAGUAAACUGAAUAGGUAAAUAUUAUCCAGAUAUAUGAAAAUGUAUGAAAUGAAAAACUAUGUACGAAUAAUAAUAAAAUAUUAACUUUAGUAUAAUUUUGAGUAAUUGCUUCCUACUACUAUACAAAUUGAUAUUAGCUAUCUGGUUAUCACAUUUUCAUAUUUAUAGGUAACUGGUUAUAGGAAAUAUUAACACUAUGUUUAGUAUUUUGAAUUGAUUAUCCAGUUUAAAAGAUGUAUAAAAAUGGUUUAUUUGACCGGUAAGGUUCUAAUCAUUCUACCCAUUAACAGCAAGUACACAGUUUCUGAAGUCAAAGAAAUAGCCCAAGAUAGUAAAGAUAACCGGUUUUCAAAUAUAAAAUCUGGAUAAAAUACGGUGUAAAUACCGGUUAUAUAUCUACGAAACCGGGAAUGAGAAGCAUGUGUAAAAUUUGAUAUGUUUUGAGUAAAAAUAGGGGAUAAUUUAAAAUUAUAAUUAAUCACAAAGCAAGUAUAUUGUUAAUAACCGGUUAUAUGGCUCUGAAACCGGAGGUUAAAUUUGAAACAAACUACUUAAAACCGGUUAUAUAGCAUUGAAACCGGUAAUUUGAAUUAUUUAAAACAUGAUAUAGCAUUGAAAACCGGUAAUGGACCGAAUGCUUGAUAUCUUGCAUAUUUGCAUCAUUUUAAUUCUCCAAUUUGCACAUAUUAAUCAUAUAGAUUAGGAAUUUAGCAUCUUUAGAAUCCAUAUUGCAUUCAUAUGUUUUAAUCAGGUAACUAGAUCUUGACCCGCACAGCCGUGCGGGUUUUUUUUUAUUUAUAUACUAAAAUAUUUUAGUUUAUAUAACUAAAUUUACCAAUAACUUAACGUAAUUUAGUGUUAUAUAUUAUGUAAUUCUAUAAUAGCUAUGUUUACGUAGCUUAUAUAUUAUUACUAUAAAUUUUAUGUUUUUGUAACAAAAAUUAUUUUGGAAACUUUAUUAUGUAACAAUAUUACUUUACAUACUUUUUAUUUUAAAUUUAUAUGAAAGCAAAUUAAAUUGGAUCUAUAUAGUAGAAAAUAUAUUUUUAAGAUACUGUAAAGAAUUUCUUUUAAAGAAAAACUAUAAUACAUUGUACUUCAAAAUAUGUUUGUAGUAAAUAUCAUAUUUGAGAAAUACACUAAGUUGGAUAAAAUAUAUUCUUUUAAUUUGAAAUAGAAAUGAAUAUUUCUAACAAAAUCUUUGUAAAUUUUAUUUUUGAAAAUUUAUCAGUUUAGAGUGUUAUUAUCAGUGAAUAUAUAAUUAUAAUACUUUACAUAAUUUUACAUUUUCAUAUAUAAAUCAAAACUAAAAUAAUUUUUAAUUUCUAAUUACAGUUUAUGAUAACUAAAAUUAAAAUUAAUUACUUAUGGAUAUAAGAUUUAAAUUUAUUCUGAAAAUAUUUUAAAAAGAUUUUUUAGAACUUUCUUAAAAAAUAUUUAUUGUUAUUCAAUUAAAAUAUAAAUAUUAUAAUUAAUUCAUGUAAAAUUUGAUAAAAUUUUAAAGAAUGGUUCAAAUGAAAAAACCACGCAUGAAAAAUUCAUCACUACAGUAUAUAUAUAUUUAAAAUAUUAUAUAUUUAUCAAUACAUGUUUGUUAACACAACAUUUAUAUAAAUAUUGAUACAUGUAAUGUAUAACAUAAUUAAUAAUAAUAACACUUAUUAUGAAAAUACAGUAGUGUUAGGAUUUUAAUAUUUGAUUUGAUUUUAUUAAUUGCAUGGUGAAAUUCUAACAUUAUUUUAUUUGCAUAAUAAAUGUUAAUUGUUAUUAUUAUUAAUUAGAUCAUAUGCAGGUAUUAACUCUAGAAUAAUUAAAUGUUAUUAUUAUUAAGUAGAUUAUAAAUGGUUAUAUGCAACUAUAAUUAUAUAUUGAUGGAAUAAAUAUAUUUUCGA